rnacentral:rRNA from 1 species
AACGAACGCUGGCGGCAUGCCUAACACAUGCAAGUCGAACGAGACCUUCGGGUCUAGUGGCGCACGGGUGCGUAACGCGUGGGAACCUGCCCUUAGGUUCGGAAUAACUCCCCGAAAGGGGUGCUAAUACCGGAUAAUGUCUUCGGACCAAAGAUUUAUCGCCUUUGGAUGGGCCCGCGUUGGAUUAGCUAGUUGGUAGGGUAAAAGCCUACCAAGGCGACGAUCCAUAGCUGGUCUGAGAGGAUGAGCAGCCACACUGGGACUGAGACACGGCCCAGACUCCUAUGGGAGGCAGCAGUGGGUAAUAUUGGACUAUGGGCUGAAGCCUGAUCCAGCAAUGCCGCGUGAGUGAUUAAGGCCUUAGGGUUGUAAAGCUCUUUUACCCGGGAUGAUAAUGACAGUACCGGGAGAAUAAGCUCCGGCUAACUCCGUG